UGGAUUAGUGGCGACGGGUGAGUAACACGUGGGCAAUCUGCCCUGCACUCUGGGACAAGCCCUGGAAACGGGGUCUAAUACCGGAUGAUAUCCCCUCUCGCAUGGGAGGGGGUUGAAAGCUCCGGCGGUGCAGGAUGAGCCCGCGGCCUAUCAGCUAGUUGGUGAGGUAGAAGCUCACCAAGGCGACGACGGGUAGCCGGCCUGAGAGGGCGACCGGCCACACUGGGACUGAGACACGGCCCAGACUCCUACGGGAGGCAGCAGUGGGGAAUAUUGCACAAUGGGCGAAAGCCUGAUGCAGCGACGCCGCGUGAGGGAUGACGGCCUUCGGGUUGUAAACCUCUUUCAGCAGGGAAGAAGCGAAAGUGACGGUACCUGCAGAAGAAGCGCCGGCUAACUACGUGCCAGCAGCCGCGGUAAUACGUAGGGCGCAAGCGUUGUCCGGAAUUAUUGGGCGUAAAGAGCUCGUAGGCGGCUUGUCACGUCGGUUGUGAAAGCCCGGGGCUUAACCCCGGGUCUGCAGUCGAUACGGGCAGGCUAGAGUGUGGUAGGGGAGAUCGGAAUUCCUGGUGUAGCGGUGAAAUGCGCAGAUAUCAGGAGGAACACCGGUGGCGAAGGCGGAUCUCUGGGCCAUUACUGACGCUGAGGAGCGAAAGCGUGGGGAGCGAACAGGAUUAGAUACCCUGGUAGUCCACGCCGUAAACGGUGGGAACUAGGUGUUGGCGACAUUCCACGUCGUCGGUGCCGCAGCUAACGCAUUAAGUUCCCCGCCCUGGGGAGUACUGCCGCAAGGCUAAAACUCAAAAGGAAUUGACGGG
rnacentral:rRNA from 1 species